rnacentral:rRNA from 1 species
GACGAACGCUGGCGGCGUGCUUAACACAUGCAAGUCGAACGGUAAGGCCCUUCGGGGUACACGAGUGGCGAACGGGUGAGUAACACGUGGGUGAUCUGCCCUGCACUUCGGGAUAAGCCUGGGAAACUGGGUCUAAUACCGGAUAGGACCACUGCCUGCAUGGGUGGUGGUGGAAAGCUUUUGCGGUGUGGGAUGGGCCCGCGGCUUAUCAGCUUGUUGGUGGGGUGAUGGCCUACCAAGGCGACGACGGGUAGCCGGCCUGAGAGGGUGACCGGCCACACUGGGACUGAGAUACGGCCCAGACUCCUACGGGAGGCAGCAGUGGGGAAUAUUGCACAAUGGGCGCAAGCCUGAUGCAGCGACGCCGCGUGGGGGAUGACGGCCUUCGGGUUGUAAACCUCUUUCGACAGGGACGAAGCUUUGGUGACGGUACCUGUAUAAGAAGCACCGGCUAACUACGUGCCAGCCGCCGCGGUAA